CGCCCAACAGCUAGCCCACCCCACUAAAUACAACAACCCUUAUUAAUACCCCCCAAUACACUACCCUAAUAAAAACAAACCAUUUUUCCACCUAAGUAUAGGCGAUAGAAA
rnacentral:rRNA from 1 species